rnacentral:tRNA from 1 species
GGUGCCGUAGGCAAAUUGGUAAAGCCGUCGAUCUUUCAAGUCGAUGCUUGCGGGUUCAACUCCCGUCGGCACUG